AUCAGCUGCCGUCUGGAUGAAAUUCAGAAACCAUGACACCUGCUUGAAGAACAAGAUGCUGAUCAGAUGGAAUGGGCUGGGACUUUAUCUUGAGAGCAGAAAUGUGAAUUGUUGGUAACACAAUCGCUUAAAAGACCCCCAGGAUUUCACUCUCUCAGAAAAAUUAAUGCCAGGCAUCUCUCUGAGAUGACCUAACUCCCAGUCUACUGACACUAUUGAGGACAUUAGAAAUGUGAGAGCAAUUUCAUCAGCAACAAGACAGUGGUCAGCUGCAGAAAGAAGGAUCGUUCACUUCUCCACAUAAGCAGCAGCAAAACCUGGCCUAAAAUAUCCACUGAAGAUUUUUUUAAAAAUCCUACAUAAUAAUUAAGGAUAGAUAAAAUAUCUCUAUCUUACUUAUUCUAAUCUUAACGAAAAUAAAUCUAUUGUCAAGACAGUUGAACACAAUGUUCAACUAUGCUUUGGGCUCCUAACUUGCCCAGUGUUGCAUAUUUUUAGCAUCCAGCUGAUUUGGCUGACUAAGCUGGGACAGCACUAAUUGCUGCAGGAAGCUGAUGUGGAAGAAAAUAGUCACAUUCUUCCUCUAACAUGGUGCAGUCUGCCAUGACUCUGCAGAGUGACACAGCGAUCUCAGAAUAUCAGCUGAACCAAAUGAGUCCUCCUAAUGCCAGAGAGGGAUCACAGAA